AGGAAGAAGGUUUUCGGAUGUAAACUGCUUUUCUCGGGGAAGAGAAACGGACGGUACCCAGGAAGAAGCCCCGGCUAACUACGUGC
rnacentral:rRNA from 1 species